ACUGGGAUAACCAGCCGAAAGGUUGGCUAAUACUGGAUAGAGCGCACAUGUCAUAAUUGGCUAGUGCGGAAAAGGACGGAGUAAUCUGUCACACUGAGAUGAGCCUGCGUCCCAUUAGUUAGUUGGCGAGGUAACGGCUCACCAAGACGAUGAUGGGUAGCUGGUCUGAGAGGACGAUCAGCCACACUGGAACUGGAACACGGUCCAG
rnacentral:rRNA from 1 species